rnacentral:sRNA from 1 species
UAUGCUUGAACAAAUCUUGUGAGAUCGUC